rnacentral:rRNA from 1 species
ACGGGUGAGUAACACGUGGUCAACCUUCCCUACAGUGGGGAUAACUAGCCGAAAGGUUAGCUAAUACCGCAUAACAUCUACGAGUGGCAUCAUUUGUAGAUCAAAGGAGCAAUCCGCUGAAGGACGGGACCGCGUCCCAUUAGUUAGUUGGUGGGGUAAUGGCCUACCAAGACUCCGAUGGGUAGCUGGUUUGAGAGAGCGACCAGCCACACUGGGACUGAGAAACGGCCCAG